rnacentral:rRNA from 1 species
GACGAACGCUGGCGGCGUGCUUAACACAUGCAAGUCGAACGGAAAGGCCCUGCUUUUGUGGGGUGCUCGAGUGGCGAACGGGUGAGUAACACGUGAGUAACCUGCCCUUGACUUUGGGAUAACUUCAGGAAACUGGGGCUAAUACCGGAUAGGAGCUCCUGCUGCAUGGUGGGGGUUGGAAAGUUUCGGCGGUUGGGGAUGGACUCGCGGCUUAUCAGCUUGUUGGUGGGGUAGUGGCUUACCAAGGCUUUGACGGGUAGCCGGCCUGAGAGGGUGACCGGCCACAUUGGGACUGAGAGACGGCCCAGACUCCUACGGGAGGCAGCAGUGGGGAAUAUUGCACAAUGGGCGGAAGCCUGAUGCAGCAACGCCGCGUGCGGGAUGACGGCCUUAGGGUUGUAAACCGCUUUCGCCUGUGACGAAGCGUGAGUGACGGUAAUGGGUAAAGAAGCACCGGCUAACUACGUG